rnacentral:lncRNA from 1 species
GUUCUAGACACCUCGAAGAACAUCAUGUUGGUCCACUAUAUUGAUGACAUCAUAUUAAUUGUAAUCAAUGAGCAAGAAAUGGCAAGAGUUCUGAAUGACUUGGUAACACAACUGUCCUCUAGAGCAUGCAAAGUAAAUCUUACGAAGAUUUAAAGGUUUGACACAUAGGUGAAGUUCUCAGGGACCAACUGUCUGGAGCCUGCGAGGACAUUCCACUCCAAAGUAAAAGUGCCUGUACCACAAUUACCCAAAGGCUCUAUCUAUCAACAUGGGAUGCCCGAAAACAUCUCCUUACACUAAGGAAUCCACUUUCCAGCAAAGGAAAUGUGGUGGGCGGAAAUUAAAGAUAUGUAGAGGCCAAGUGAAAAAAAUCAGAGGCUGCAAGGACCGUGGGGUGUGAACCAGCGCUGUGGCUAUUUCUCCUUUUGUCC